rnacentral:tRNA from 1 species
GGCGAGAUGGCCGAGAGGUCUAAGGCGUCAGACUGGGGAUCUGAUCAAGGCGUGGAUUCAAAUCCCACUUUUCUCA